AUGAGUUGUGAACCAGGAGUAACUUAUCCUAAGCGUUCAGAUUGGCGCCCUGAACCUAGUAAUUCACAUUGGCAUUCCUACGUCUUAAGACGAAUGGCUCUGCCAGUGCAGACGGAAGAAAUGGGUCUUCCCCCCCAUCACGGGCAAAAUCAAGACGCUGGGACGCUAAAAGUCAAGUUUGCUCAAAACUAUAAACUGGGGUUUGAUGAUAAGGGAUUCAAUUUCAUGACAAUGUUCAAAUCCGUCCAACAGGAGUGGGGCCCUAAAGACGGCAUUUCAGUAAACAGUAUUAACUUGCAAUUACCUACUGGGGCAAAUCAGAAAUAGAUGCUAUAGUAAAAUCAUUCCCUAAGAGAACACGAGCCCCGGGUAAGGUGUCCCUCGCGCGGCUGGAGGAUGGGCUCUCCGGGUCCCUCCCCGAGCCCUCCCCUCCAAGGCCCUCCCACACCUCUCCCAGACCAACGCACGGGGAGGAGACCUAUUUAAAAAACAGAAAACUGCUGGGAAUUCUUUCAGCCUCUCUGCCACAAACAACUACCAUUGUCCCAGGCCGAAGGCAAGCGAGAUUUCCUCCUUUUCCAGGCGCACACCCAGGGCGGGCUACCCCC
rnacentral:lncRNA from 1 species